UAUGGCCUACGGGACGCAGCAGUGGGGAAUAUUGCACAAUGGGGGAAACCCUGAUGCAGCGACGCCGCGUGGGCGACGAAGCGCUCCGGCGCGUAAAGCCCUGUCAGCAGGGAAGAACAAAGACAGUACCUGACCAAGAAGCCCCGGCUAACUACGUGCCAGCAGCCGCGGUAAUACGUAGGGGGCAAGCGUUAUCCGGAUUUACUGGGUGUAAAGGGCGUGUAGCCGGGCUGACAAGUCAGAUGUGAAAUCCGGGGGCUCAACCCCCGAACUGCAUUUGAAACUGUUGGUCUUGAGUAUCGGAG
rnacentral:rRNA from 1 species